ensembl:lncRNA
UACUACCUAUGUUGUCUUGGCCCUGGGCCUGGCCAUGAAAACCAGGAGAAUGCAAAGCAUGUAACAUCUCACUUAGAGCUGACGCAGAAGGGAAGUGACUCUGAAAUAUAGACCCUCUUGGCCUCUGGGGGAGAUUUAUGUGGCGAGGAUCACGCUCCUCAGAGAAAGACUGCAGCUCUACAUCAGAUCAUCAAGCGUUAGAUUCCGGAGGUUGGGGACCCCUGCCUUAUGCAAUUGCUCUUGCAGCUGCACCGGAAGAAGCUCAGAGAGAACAGGAAGUGUGUUGUCUACAGUAACACCUUGUUUGUCAAAUAAUAGUAAAGGAA